UAGGGAAUCUUCCGCAAUGGACGCAAGUCUGACGGAGCAACGCCGCGUGAGUGAAGAAGGAUUUCGGUUCGUAAAACUCUGUUGUUAGAGAAGAACAGCGCAUAGAGUAACUGUUAUGCGUGUGACGGUAUCUAACCAGAAAGCCACGGCUAACUACGUGCCAGCAGCCGCGGUAAUACGUAGGUGGCAAGCGUUGUCCGGAUUUAUUGGGCGUAAAGCGAGCGCAGGCGGUCAAUUAAGUCUGAUGUGAAAGCCCCCGGCUCAACCGGGGAGGGUCAUUUGAAACUGGUUGACUUGAGUGCAGAAGAGGAGAGUGGAAUUCCAUGUGUAGCGGUGAAAUGCGUAGAUAUAUGGAGGAACACCAGUAGCGAAGGCGACUCUCUGGUCUGUAACUGACGCUGAGGUUCGAAAGCGUGGGUAGCAAACAGG
rnacentral:rRNA from 1 species